UACGUAGGUGGCAAGCGUUGUCCGGAUUUAUUGGGUUUAAAGGGUGCGUAGGCGGUCUAUUAAGUCAGUGGUGAAAUACUCCAGCUUAACUGGAGGGGUGCCAUUGACACUGAUGGACUUGAGUGAAGUCGAGGUAGGCGGAAUUGACGGUGUAGCGGUGAAAUGCUUAGAUAUCGUCAAGAACACCAAUAGUGAAGACAGCUUACUAGGCUUAUACUGACGCUGAGGCACGAAAGUGUGGGGAUCAAACAGG
rnacentral:rRNA from 1 species